rnacentral:rRNA from 1 species
GAUGAACGCUGGCGGCGUGCAUAACACAUUCAAGUCGAACGGUGACGGGGCUUCGGCCCCUGAUCAGUGGCGGACGGGUGAGUAACGCGUGAGCAACCUGCCCUUAUGUUCGGGUUACCGACCGGAAACAUCGGCAAAACCCGAAUACCAUAUCCUGAUUGCUUGGUUGGGUUAUCAAAGAUUUAUUGCAUAAGGAUGGGCUCGCGUCCCAUUAGAUAGUUGGUGAGGUAACGGCUCACCAAGUCGACGAUGGGUAGCCGGACUGAGAGGUUGAACGGCCACAUUGAAACUGAGAUACGGUCCAGACUCCUACGGGAGGCAGCAGUGGGGAAUAUUGGGCAAUGGGGGAAACCCUGACCCAGCGACGCCGCGUGCGGGAAGAAGGUCUUCGGAUUGUAAACCGCUUUUAUUAGGGAAGAAGUAUGACGGUACCUAAUGAAUAAGCCACGGCUAACUACGUGCCAGCAGCCGCGGUAAGAC